rnacentral:rRNA from 1 species
CAAUAGCGUAUAUUAACGUUGUUGCAGUUAAAAAGCUCGUAGUUGGAUUUCUGGAGGGAGCGUCGGCCCGUAUUUACGAGUGCGUGACGUCUCUGUCCAUCCUUGCGGGCAGGCACGGCAUUGAUUUGUUGUGUCGGAUCGCAUCAUUUACUGUGAAAAAAUUAGAGUGUUCAAAGCAGGCUUUCGCUUGAAUACAUUAGCAUGGAAUAAUAAGAUAGGACUUUGGUGCUAUUUUGUUGGUUGAGCCUAAAGUAAUGAUUAAUAGGGAUAGUUGGGGGCACCUGUAUUGCGUUGUCAGAGGUGAAAUUCUUGGAUUUACGCAAGACAAACAGCUGCGAAAGCGUCUGCCAAGGAUGUUUUCAUUAA